GAAAUUCGAAGACGGGGAGCACGAAGGGGAGCACGGACGAAGGCAAGCCUCGUCCAUUCAUAUUAGCAUGGCGCCAUGGCCGAACCGGUGCACGCAGCGUGGUUAUGUAUCGCCUGCUGCGACCGCUAGCAACGGGCAGGCAAAUCAAUCGUGCUACACGCACUUGCAAGCUAGCCGAUUUGGAAAGUUUUCGGACAGGGUUUUCUUUUAACUUUUAUUAUUUUAUUACUGACUACCAAAUAUGUCUGUGUGUUGUAAUGGGAGAGUAAAUAUAUUUUUAUCCAAGCCAUUGUUUCCAUUUUGAUUCAAUUUUGGUUCUGAAUCUCUACUCCUAAUGGAAUAGUUGGUGAAUAGUCUCCACAAUUUAUUUUCGUUGGUCUUUUUUCGUCUCUCCUCCCUCCUUCGUCGAACCGAACCUCCUGGCCAUGCCUCCACGUUGUACACGCACAAACCUACGACAAAAAAACAGCUGAAAAAAACGGCAUCGAUUCGCACGCACGUACGAGCGAGGCCUCCUGCCCUCGAGCGAGAACCACUAGCACUCACGACCCGCUCAGCAGAUCGUUCGCCGCCGCCCUCCAUCCCUUCGCCGCCGCCGAUCCAUCCGUUCUUCGUGCCCGACGUCGCUGACCCCGCCUCCGCGCCGCUCGCCCGAGCCUUCCUCAGUUCCUCUCCGACGCGGCCGACAAGCCCCCGCAGCUCCUCCCCGUCGAAACCGCGCCCGUCGCCCAACGGCUCUUCCUCGAGUUCCCUGGCUCCGACGAGGGCCCGUCCAAGGCCAAGGGGAAGGGGCGACACGGUGGGAGAGGAGAAUGGAGGGAUCAGGGAGGCGGUGCAGAGGUUCGAGGGGUAGGAGGUCGAGGCGCUCGAGCGGAAGGAGGUCGCCUUCAGGCUCAUCGUUCAGAUGCUCGGGGGCGAGGGCGGGCUGGAGGCCGACAAGGUUGCCAAGGUCAGGAAAGCUGCCGCAUGGCAGGUCCGUUCGCUCACGGAUUUUCUCAAGAAUUAGGCAAUCAUCUCCUCGGACUCAGAGUAGUGAGGAGGGCAUGCGUCAGAGGCCAGUCGGCAGAGGGAGUUCAGAGAUAAUGCGUGUGUCCUCCUUGCUUAAGCACCAGCCUGAUGGGGACUUUGAGAGGUUGCCGCCGAUGGCGCGUCCAAACCAGAUGCAUCAUCAUCAGUCGCCCCCAAUGCCUAAUUUCCGUGGAAAUGGUUUUGGCCCGUGGAACCACGGGGCGCAUCCAGAGAGGGUAGGUUUUCCUCAAGGACCCGUGGGUUGGCAAGGAGCACCACAAAGCCCCUCUCCAUACAUUGUCAAGAAGAUUUUGCGGUUGGAGAUACCAACAGAUACUUACCCUAAUUUCAAUUUUAUUGGCCGUCUUCUUGGGCCAAAGGGAAACUCGUUGAAGAGGAUUGAAGCCACUACAGGUUGUCGUGUUUUUAUCAGAGGGAAGGGCUCAAUUAAAGAUCCUGGGAAGUAACCUACCACGCGCGCCGAGGCGAGGGCCUCGUGGACUCCGUCCAUCGCCGCUUGGCCGACGACCCUGCCGCUUGGCCGAGGACCUCGUGAUGUAUCAAUUAUUUCUCAGCUUGGCGCAUGCAUUACGGCAGCACGCCGCGCGCAGUUUCCUUGGAUUCUAUUUCAUCUCCUCCCGUCCGCUUCCUCUAAUUGUGAGUUUUGGUUGUAAUGUGUUUUACAGAUUCCCAUCUACUGUACUUCCUAUGUAGUGCAUAUCCCGUUCCUCCUUUUACAGGCUUCUCAAAUCAUUCGUUCGUUCGUGCUGGUCAUCCUCCUACAUCUGCCUGUCUCGCUCUCCGAUUGAUUAAUCGUGUUCAUUGGGAUUUAAAAAGAGGAACAUGGAUUUUUGUUGGUGACUUGUAAGCAGCAACAAGAUCUUGCAAUUUCUAAUUUUCUAGCCAUCCACGUGAGUACAGAUCAGGCGAGUACCUCGGGGCAGAGCCCGCGCUGCCGUACCUGAGCCCCUACAUGCGCGGCGAGAACCUGCUCGUCGGCGCAAACUUCGCGUCCACCGGCGUCGACAUCCUCAACGACACAGGCGUGCAAUUUGAUCGCGCAGCAGCUGCAGAACUUCCAGGACUACCAGCAGAGGCUGGCGGCGUACGUCGGCGAGGACGCGACAAGUGAGCGCAUGAGCCAGUCGCUGUUGCUCAUCACGCUUGGUGGCAACGACUUCGUCAACAACUACUGCCUGGUGCCCUUCUCCGCUAGGUCCCAGCAGUUCGAGAUCCACAGCUACAUCCCCUUCAUCAUCUCCGAGUACAAGAAAGUCCUCGCGGGUGAUAUGGAUGAAGGAAAAGAGGCCAGCAGUGCUGAGCUAAACAAUUCAGGGAGGUAUUGGAUUGGCCUCUGUAGAAACUAUGGCACCUAAUCUUGGGCCCCUAGAAGAAGGAAACUCAACAUGCGUGAUUCUCAUUAGAGGCAACCAGACCGUUGUUGAAAAUAUUGAUGAUUCCUGUUGUGUAUUCCCAAGGAAUGGUCAGGUUUAGUACUGACCGUUGCGGUGCGUAGAAGAAAGGUGCCACUUUCACUUAGUUCUCUCAGUUCUAAGUUGGGACUGCAAAAAUUUGAGGAUUUCCCCACAUGUGAGUUGCCUUGAUUAGUUUUGGCUUAGUUAUUGAAAUGAACUGGAAGUAACUUCUGAAUUUGUUUGACUUUGGACUUGCAUGAGACCUGAAGUUUCUGCUUCUAGCAUUUCUCUUUUGUAAGCAGCAUGGCAAACCCGGUUUCAAAGUAAAGACCUGAGGAAGAAUGUAGAUUGAUCACUGUGAUUUCAAGUCCUUCAGAGCUGGAGCUGUUAAGACUUGAGACAAAUAUAUACAGGGCCACAAGGGCCUACAAGAUCCAAUUCAUGUUUGACGGUUCGUCAAAAUAAACAAGGAGUAAUGAUGGGUAAAGAAGAAAGUUGAGGCACAUUAAUCAAACGCCAACCCACCUGCUAUUGGCACUAAAUGAGGAAGGAAAAAGAACAUUGUCCCUGAAGGCUCGAGAUACACAAACAGGCAACUGAGUUUGGGAAAGGUGGUUGUCUCCUUGACGCACACCAUGGUGCCCUUGUCUACUCUCUGUCUUCUUCCUUGGACAUGUAUUUUAUUUCAAGCUUUGACACCUUAUUUACUCGUAGUAGGUUCUCUCGUACCAUUUUUCGGUGGAGUUGUACUGGCAUCCUUGACUGAAGUUUCUUUCAACUGAGACAAAACAUGACAAGAAAGGGGAAGAACUAACCUACAUGGAGCUUGGUCAAGGUCGCCGCUCAUGUUUGAUGGCAUUGUUUCUGGUUCCACUGACGUUUGCCUGUUACCUAUGGCCCCGUUGCUGCUUUCCUCGAUAGGGCGUGGUCCAUCAGCCACUGCAUGCAGACAAUAGAAUUUAGGCCAGCAAUUGUCGCUUAUCUACUAUCUAUGCUACAGAUCGACCCAUAGACAGGGAAAGGAAGCGAUGGCUGGUGGGGAGAGGAGCCGGGGGACGUGUUGUGACGGGACAAGAGGCGCAGUGGCAGGGAGAGAAGUUGAAGACUACGCCAUGUGAGUUGCUGAAGCUGUGCCUUAUGCGGUGGGGAUAAGGGAUGUGUGAUGUGCUUGUGUGGUGAGAGACGAGGAGUGGCUUUUCCUUUUUGUGGGAGGCUGUUCAUAUUUGUCUAUUCUAUUUUUAUAUUCAAGAUACAUACAAUUAUUUAUCAUCAUUAUAAUCGAGAUAAUAAAUAUUUAUUUAUUC